UAAACGAAGAGACCCUUAGCUAGGCCACUCCCAACCCAAAACAGAACCGCCGGAUCCGAUCGAAGGCGGCGCGCGACGACAGCUGUUUUGUUUGCACCGUCUCCGACUCCACCUGCACAACGCCUUUCCAAUCGCCGCAGUUUUGGUUUUUAGUACCAUACCGGAGCAUUUCGCGGUACGCGACCAGCUUAACGACGUGCCCGACGAGGUAGUCUCCGCCGGGCCUCGUAGCGGUGGCCCACGUCAUCCCAAGCUUUGGGGGCAAAGGUGCUGGCUCGGCGGGGAGCAAGAGCAUCGCAGAGACUGGAUCCGACAUCUUCGGCUCACUGCUGGCCUAAUCCGGUGUGACGGUCGCGAUCGUAAAUCCGGACAGGCCUGUACGCGGAAGGUGGCUCGCUCCGUCCUUUGCUUUGCUCUCCAUCGAACCACCACCUUUUGCUUCUUUUUUCUCUGGAUCUUCAGGUGGACUCCGGGUGCAGAUAACUGAAAUGCAAGAAUCAACUUAAACUGGCGAUGAACAAGAAUCUUUGUUGAUGUUCUGACAAAUGCUUGCCAAAGUUUACUUAAAGCGGCCCUGACAAAUUUCACUUGAGGUGAUGAAAUCGGUGAAAUUGCCACUUCGAGAUGGCCCUGACAAAUGCUUCGCAGUGUCCAAACUAUUCAUGUCUGCUUGGCAAAUGACACUGCCCAAAGAAAAAAAAUUUUGAA